rnacentral:lncRNA from 1 species
GAGGAAAGCCCAGCGACGCCGGGCCAGCGCAUUCUUAUUUUAUGUAUGAGCAAACUAUGGAAUGGAAAAGAGAUUAUGAGUUAUUACUUGAUUUGAUUUGCCCUAAGUGUUUUUUAAACGAAGAUCUGGCAAGAGUUAGCGUGCAGUUCUACAUUGUGACAAUUCAUGAGAGCUAAGGACUGGCUGUCUCUUGGGACAAAUAGGCUUUCUUGAGUCUGCAUGAGGCCCUCACCAGAUACAGCCACCUGAUCUUGGACUUCACAGCCUCCAGAAAUUUCCUAGGAAAGAAGUUGUUUCAACUCUCAUUGGAGGAAGUAUAAGGUGAUCUCAGGGAAGGGGAGAAGGGCUGGUUGCCUGCCAAAUCUAUGAUCAAGUCGGCUCCACAGUCACUUUGCUUCCACUUCUAAGUGAGAACAUACAGUGUUUGGUUUUUCAUUCCUGAGUUACUUCACCUAGAACAAUGGCCUCCAGCUCCAUCCAAGUUGCUGCAGAAGACAUUUCAUUCCUUUUAUGGCUGAGUAGUAUUCCAUGUCCAGUGAUUCAAGUUUGACACACCACACCACGGUGGAUGUGCCUUGUCAUGACACAUCUUCUCAGCAGCACUAGAAGAUACAUCCAAAGUCCUGUGAGCAAGGACACAGCGAGAAGAUGGCUGUCUACAAGCCAGGAAGAGAGUCCUCACCAGAACCAAACCCUGCUGGACUUUGAUCUUGGACUUCCCAGCCUCUAAAACUGUGAAGACAUAAAUUUCUGUUGUUAAACCCACACAGGUCUGUGGUAUCUGUUUAUUAUGGCAGCCCAGUAAGACUAAGACAGGCCAUCACAAGACAUGAAUGUUUUGGACCUUCUCUUGGGCCCUAGUAAACAGAAAUCAGGUACGCAAAAGGGGUAAGCAUAUAAUUUCCUUUAUUUUUAUUUUUAAUGUGUAAGCCUUAGGUUUUUAUUUAUUUAUUUGGUGAAGACAAUCACAUUGUGUACGUACAAUGUAAUUAUAUUGUUGACGAGAAGUUACUUAAAAUUUUUUAAAAAUUCUAAUCGAUUUCUAGAUGUCCAAAUGAGAAGAUAGCAUUUAUAUACCAUCAGAACAUAAAAUAAUUCAAAAAAAUAAAUUUAUAAAACAAUAUGUAUUAUAUUGAGAGAAAGAGAGGGAGAGAGUAUUGGAAGAAUAUAUGCAAAUACAAUGUGAUAAUGUGAUGUCUUUGUGAGAAUGCUAUAUGUCAUUUUCUUUGUUUAUAUGAAUUUUUACAAUUUUUACCUUUGAAAUAUAAAAAAGAGAGAAUAAAAGUCAUUGAAAAAAUCAA